GAACGCUAGCGGCAGGCCUAAUACAUGCAAGUCGGACGGGAUUUGGGAGCUUGCUCCCGAUGAGAGUGGCGCACGGGUGCGUAACACGUAUGUAACCUACCUUUGUCAGGGGGAUAGCCUCUCGAAAGAGAGAUUAAGCCCGCAUAACAUCAGAAUGUGGCAUCACAAACUGAUCAAAUAUUUAUAGGACAAAGAUGGGCAUGCGGAACAUUAGCUAGUUGGUAAGGUAACGGCUUACCAAGGCUACGAUGUUUAGGGGAUCUGAGAGGAUGACCCCCCACACUGGUACUGAGACACGGACCAGACUCCUACGGGAGGCAGCAGUAAGGAAUAUUGGUCAAUGGGCGGAAGCCUGAACCAGCCAUGCCGCGUGCAGGAAGACGGC
rnacentral:rRNA from 1 species